rnacentral:rRNA from 1 species
AAGUAGAUAAGGGCGUGUGGGGAAUGCCUUGGCUCUCAGAGACGAUGAAGGACGCGAUAAGCUGCGAUAAGCUUCGGGGAUUAGCACAUAUGAAUUGAUCCGAAGAUUUCCGAAUGGGACAACCCAGCUAGUUGAAGACUAGUUAUCCAGCAAUGGAGGUUAACCCGGGGAACUGAAACAUCUAAGUACCCGGAGGAAGAGAAAACAAUAGUGAUUCCGCAAGUAGUGGCGAGCGAACGCGGAACAGCCCAAACCUUGAUCGUUACGGCGGUUGAGGGGUUGUAGGACUGUAACAUGGAAUUUAUAAUGAACAAGAAUGAUCUGGGAAGGUCAACCGAAGAGGGUGAAAGUCCCGUAUUGGUAAAAUUAUAAUACCUAACAGUAUCCUGAGUAAGACGGGACCGGAGAAAUCCCGUUUGAAUCCACCGGCACCAUCCGGUAAGGCUAAAUACUCCUG